rnacentral:rRNA from 1 species
CACUAUCGUUAACUGAAUACAUAGGUUAACGAGGCGAACCGGGGGAACUGAAACAUCUAAGUACCCCGAGGAAAAGAAAUCAACCGAGAUUCCCCCAGUAGCGGCGAGCGAACGGGGAGCAGCCCAGAGUCUGAAUCAGCUUGUGUGUUAGUGGAACGGUCUGGAAAGUCCGACGGUACAGGGUGAUAGUCCCGUACACCAAAAUGCACAGGCUGUGAACUCGAAGAGUAGGGCGGGACACGUGGUAUCCUGUCUGAAUAUGGGGGGACCAUCCUCCAAGGCUAAAUACUCCUGACUGACCGAUAGUGAACCAGUACCGUGAGGGAAAGGCGAAAAGAACCCCGGCGAGGGGAGUGAAAAAGAACCUGAAACCGUGUACGUACAAGCAGUGGGAGCACCUUCGGGUGUGACUGCGUACCUUUUGUAUAAUGGGUCAGCGACUUAUAUUCUGUAGCAAGGUUAACCGUAUAGGGGAGCCGCAGGGAAACCGAGUCUUAACUGGGCGUUAAGUUGCAGGGUAUAGACCCGAAACCCGGUGAUCUAGCCAUGGGCAGGUUGAAGGUUGGGUAACACUAACUGGAGGACCGAACCGACUAAUGUUGAAAAAUUAGCGGAUGACUUGUGGCUGGGGGUGAAAGGCCAAUCAAACCGGGAGAUAGCUGGUUCUCCCCGAAAGCUAUUUAGGUAGCGCCUCGUGAAUUCAUCUUCGGGGGUAGAGCACUGUUUCGGCUAGGGGGUCAUCCCGACUUACCAACCCGAUGCAAACUACGAAUACCGAAGAAUGUUAUCACGGGAGACACACGGCGGGUGCUAACGUCCGUCGUGAAGAGGGAAACAACCCAGACCGCCAGCUAAGGUCCCAAAGUCAUGGUUAAGUGGGAAACGAUGUGGGAAGGCACAGACAGCCAGGAUGUUGGCUUAGAAGCAGCCAUCAUUUAAAGAAAGCGUAAUAGCUCACUGGUCGAGUCGGCCUGCGCGGAAGAUGUAACGGGGCUAAACCAUGCACCGAAGCUGCGGCAGCGACACUAUGUGUUGUUGGGUAGGGGAGCGUUCUGUAAGCCUGCGAAGGUGACCUGUGAGGGUUGCUGGAGGUAUCAGAAGUGCGAAUGCUGACAUAAGUAACGAUAAAGCGGGUGAAAAGCCCGCUCGCCGGAAGACCAAGGGUUCCUGUCCAACGUUAAUCGGGGCAGGGUGAGUCGACCCCUAAGGCGAGGCCGAAAGGCGUAGUCGAUGGGAAACAGGUUAAUAUUCCUGUACUUGGUGUUACUGCGAAGGGGGGACGGAGAAGGCUAUGUUAGCCGGGCGACGGUUGUCCCGGUUUAAGCAUGUAGGCUGGUUAUCCAGGCAAAUCCGGAUAAUCAAGGCUGAGGUGUGAUGACGAGGCACUACGGUGCUGAAGUAACAAAUGCCCUGCUUCCAGGAAAAGCCUCUAAGCAUCAGGUAACAUCAAAUCGUACCCCAAACCGACACAGGUGGUCAGGUAGAGAAUACCAAGGCGCUUGAGAGAACUCGGGUGAAGGAACUAGGCAAAAUGGUGCCGUAACUUCGGGAGAAGGCACGCUGGUGUGUAGGUGAAGUCCCUGCGGAUGGAGCUGAGACCAGUCGAAGAUACCAGCUGGCUGCAACUGUUUAUUAAAAACACAGCACUGUGCAAACACGAAAGUGGACGUAUACGGUGUGACGCCUGCCCGGUGCCGGAAGGUUAAUUGAUGGGGUUAUCCGUAAGGAGAAGCUCUUGAUCGAAGCCCCGGUAAACGGCGGCCGUAACUAUAACGGUCCUAAGGUAGCGAAAUUCCUUGUCGGGUAAGUUCCGACCUGCACGAAUGGCGUAAUGAUGGCCAGGCUGUCUCCACCCGAGACUCAGUGAAAUUGAACUCGCUGUGAAGAUGCAGUGUACCCGCGGCAAGACGGAAAGACCCCGUGAACCUUUACUAUAGCUUGACACUGAACAUUGAGCCUUGAUGUGUAGGAUAGGUGGGAGGCUUUGAAGCGUGGACGCCAGUCUGCGUGGAGCCAACCUUGAAAUACCACCCUUUAAUGUUUGAUGUUCUAACGUUGGCCCCUUACCGGGGUUGCGGACAGUGUCUGGUGGGUAGUUUGACUGGGGCGGUCUCCUCCCAAAGCGUAACGGAGGAGCACGAAGGUUAGCUAAUCCUGGUCGGACAUCAGGAGGUUAGUGCAAUGGCAUAAGCUAGCUUGACUGCGAGCGUGACGGCGCGAGCAGGUGCGAAAGCAGGUCAUAGUGAUCCGGUGGUUCUGAAUGGAAGGGCCAUCGCUCAACGGAUAAAAGGUACUCCGGGGAUAACAGGCUGAUACCGCCCAAGAGUUCAUAUCGACGGCGGUGUUUGGCACCUCGAUGUCGGCUCAUCACAUCCUGGGGCUGAAGUAGGUCCCAAGGGUAUGGCUGUUCGCCAUUUAAAGUGGUACGCGAGCUGGGUUUAGAACGUCGUGAGACAGUUCGGUCCCUAUCUGCCGUGGGCGCUGGAGAAUUGAGGGGGGCUGCUCCUAGUACGAGAGGACCGGAGUGGACGCAUCACUGGUGUUCGGGUUGUCAUGCCAAUGGCACUGCCCGGUAGCUAAAUGCGGAAGAGAUAAGUGCUGAAAGCAUCUAAGCACGAAACUUGCCCCGAGAUGAGUUCUCCCUGAGACUUUAAGUCUCCUGAAGGAACGUUAAAGACGAUGACGUUGAUAGGCCGGGUGUGUAAGCGCAGCGAUGCGUUGAGCUAACCGGUACUAAUGAACCGUGAGGCUUAACCUU